rnacentral:lncRNA from 1 species
UUUUAUCUGCCCAUUGCCUCUUAAGAGGACUUAACCUGCUUGGCACAAAAUUAAACAACCACAAACAUUGCCUCUUAAGGAGGGCUUCAGACAGGUGCCUUCCAGUAACAACAGGUCUUCCAGACUACAUGAAGAUUAGGAAUUAUACCUAAGUGGUACGCCAACCACAGCAAAGCAAAGCAAAGUUCAAAUGAACUUAAAGCAACUUAGGUACCUGUGGAAACAACUAAACCAAUCAGUACAGAAUUCAGACAAACAGACAACAGUCAAUAUCAAACAG